UGGAGUUGAACAAUGGAGAUCAGAUGGCCGCUGGGGACUCACAGCUUCCAGAAUUAUUUAGCCAUCUGGAUCAGCUCAUCCAUUGACAGUCCCAGGAUGGAAUGUAAAUGUGAUGAUGUUGAACCAGUUUUGGCCAAGAAGGGCAACAUGCCAGGAGUUGACGGAACAUUAAAUCAGAAGGAACCUGGGUUCCUGAAAGACCCUAUGUGGCUAAAGCUGUACCCCUGUCAUCCCAG
rnacentral:lncRNA from 1 species